UUAAGUUCAGCGGGUAUUCCUACCUGAUCCGAGGUCAACUUUCAGAAGUGGGGUGUUUAACGGCAUGGCCACCGCCGCGUUCCAACUGCGAGGUUGUGCUACUACGCAGAGGAGGACUACAGCGAGACCGCCACUAGAUUUCGGGGACGGCCAGGCGAGCCCGAAGGCUGCCGUCGGCCGAUCCCCAACGCCAGGCACUG
rnacentral:misc_RNA from 1 species